ACGUGGCGGCUUGUAAUUAGU
rnacentral:siRNA from 1 species